UACGUAGGGUGCGAGCGUUAAUCGGAAUUACUGGGCGUAAAGCGUGCGCAGGCGGUGCUGUAAGACCGAUGUGAAAUCCCCGGGCUUAACCUGGGAACUGCAUUGGUGACUGCAGCGCUGGAGUAUGGCAGAGGGGGGUGGAAUUCCACGUGUAGCAGUGAAAUGCCGUAGAGAUGUGGAGGAAUACCGAUGGCGAAGGCAGCCCCCUGGGAUAACACUGACGCUCAUGCACGAAAGCGUGGGGAGCAAA
rnacentral:rRNA from 1 species